rnacentral:sRNA from 1 species
GUCGUGAGAUGUUGGGUUAAGUCCCGCAACGAGCGCAACCCCUGUUCUUAGUUGCCAGCGCGUAAUGGCGGGGACUCUAGGAAGACUGCCGGUGCCAAACCGGAGGAAGGUGGGGACGACGUCAAGUCAUCAUGGUCCUUACGUCUAGGGCUACACACGUGCUACAAUGGGCCGGACAGAGGGGUCCGAGGCAGCAAUGCCUAGGCAAUCCCAAAACCGGUCCUCAGUUCGGAUUGUCGUCUGCAACUCGACGGCAUGAAGCUGGAAUCGCUAGUAAUCGUGGAUCAGCUGCGCCACGGUGAAUACGUUCCCGGGCCUUGUACACACCGCCCGUCACGCCAUGGAAGUGGCGAGCGCCCGAAGUCAGUGUCGGAACCCGCAAGGGGCCAAGCUGCCGAAGGCGAGCGUCAUGACUGGGGCGAAGUCGUAACAAGGUAGCCGUAGGGGAACCUGCGGCUGGAUCACCUCCUUAACGGAGAGAAACGAGUAGAGCUGGGGCAACCUAACUUGAAAGUUCUCAACCAGUUAUCGCCCGUCUUACACAUCCAGAUCUCAACUUCUUUUCAUAUGCUUCCAGGGUGUCAAAACCCUGGGAGUAAUUUGAGUCCGCAGCGCCUUCAAAAAGCGUUGGCGUGACACAGCUAUUUGACAACGGAACGUAGUAGUGAUCGUGGGACUGACUUCCAAAACUUUGAUAAGGGUUUUGCGAAGUCGGCGAAUCAACACUGUGAUAACAAUUUCGUUGUCCGGACUUCGGUCUGGGCACGGUUUUACAGGUGUGUCAAAGCACCUGAUGAAAUGAUUGUAUCACUCGUUAGAUCGCGCGUGUUUCUGUUUGAUUAGAAUUGAGAACAUUUAGUUAUUUGAUCAAGCGAAAGAAUGUAUGUGGGGGAUGCCUGGGUACACGGAGGCGAUGAAGGCCGUGGUAAGCUGCGAUAAGCCGGGGGGAGCUGCACACAAGCUAUGAGCCCCGGAUGG